rfam:Schistosoma mattheei strain Denwood, Zambia genome assembly, scaffold: SMTD_scaffold0024602
AUCCAGAUGACGAGUCCUAAAUAAGAUUAAACGCAUGUCCUGGAU